rnacentral:rRNA from 1 species
AGAGUUUGAUCCUGGCUCAGGAUGAACGCUGACAGAAUGCUUAACACAUGCAAGUCUACUUGAACUUCGGUUUGGGUGGCGGACGGGUGAGUAACGCGUAAAGAACUUGCCUCACAGCUAGGGACAACAUUUGGAAACGAAUGCUAAUACCUGAUAUUAUGAUUUUAGGGCAUCCUAAGAUUAUGAAAGCUAUAUGUGCUGUGAGAGAGCUUUGCGUCCCAUUAGCUAGUUGGAGAGGUAACGGCUCACCAAGGCGAUGAUGGGUAGCCGGCCUGAGAGGGUGAACGGCCACAAGGGGACUGAGACACGGCCCUUACUCCUACGGGAGGCAGCAGUGGGGAAUAUUGGACAAUGGACCAAGAGUCUGAUCCAGCAAUUCUGUGUGCACGAUGAAGUUUUUCGGAAUGUAAAGUGCUUUCAGUUGGGAAGAAAAAAAUGACGGUACCAACAGAAGAAGUGACGGCUAAAUACGUGCCAGCAGCCGCGGUAAUACGUAUGUCACAAGCGUUAUCCGGAUUUAUUGGGCGUAAAGCGCGUCUAGGUGGUUAUGUAAGUCUGAUGUGAAAAUGCAGGGCUCAACUCUGUAUUGCGUUGGAAACUGUGUAACUAGAGUACUGGAGAGGUAAGCGGAACUACAAGUGUAGAGGUGAAAUUCGUAGAUAUUUGUAGGAAUGCCGAUGGGGAAGCCAGCUUACUGGACAGAUACUGACGCUAAAGCGCGAAAGCGUGGGUAGCAAACAGGAUUAGAUACCCUGGUAGUCCACGC